UCCCUGUUACCAGGGCAGUCUGACUAGAAAAAUUCAACUAGUCACAAGGGUUGCGCUCGUUGAUGGACUUAACCAAACAUCUCACGACACGAGCUGACGACGGCCAUGCAUCACCUGUCACUUGGCUCAAUAAAGCACUCUCUGCUUUCGCAGAAAUUCCAAGGAUGUCAAGCCUGGGUAAGGUUCUUCGUUUACCAUCGAAUUAAACAACACGCUCCACCGCUUGUGCGGGUCCCCGUCAAUUCCUUUAUGUUUUAGUCUUGCGACCGUACUCCACAGGCGGGAUGCUUAACGCGUUAGCUUCGCUACUACCGGGGUCGAUACCGAUAACAGCUAGCAUCCAUCGUUUACGGCGUGGACUAC
rnacentral:misc_RNA from 1 species